rnacentral:rRNA from 1 species
ACAUGCAAGUCGAACGGCAGCACGGGAGCAAUCCUGGUGGCGAGUGGCGAACGGGUGAGUAAUAUAUCGGAACGUGCCCAGUCGUGGGGGAUAACGUAGCGAAAGCUACGCUAAUACCGCAUACGAUCUACGGAUGAAAGCGGGGGACCUGUAAGGGCCUCGCGCGAUUGGAGCGGCCGAUAUCAGAUUAGGUUGUUGGUGAGGUAAAAGCUCACCAAGCCUGCGAUCUGUAGCUGGUCUGAGAGGACGACCAGCCACACUGGAACUGAGACACGGUCCAGACUCCUACGGGAGGCAGCAGUGGGGAAUUUUGGACAAUGGACGCAAGUCUGAUCCAGCAAUGCCGCGUGCAGGACGAAGGCCUUCGGGUUGUAAACUGCUUUUGUACGGAACGAAACGGUCUGCUUUAAUACAGUGGGCUAAUGACGGUACCGUAAGAAUAAGCACCGGCUAACUACGUGCCAGCAGCCGCGGUAAUACGUAGGGUGCGAGCGUUAAUCGGAAUUACUGGGCGUAAAGCGUGCGCAGGCGGUUAUAUAAGUCAGAUGUGAAAUCCCCGGGCUCAACCUGGGACCUGCAUUUGAGACUGUAUAGCUAGAGUACGGUAGAGGGGGAUGGAACUCCGCGUGUAGCAGUGAAAUGCGUAGAUAUGCGGAGGAACACCGAUGGCGAAGGCAAUCCCCCUGGACCUG